rnacentral:rRNA from 1 species
GUACACUCCUGCGGGAGGCAGCAGUGGGGAAUAUUGGACAAUGGGCGCAAGCCUGAUCCAGCCAUGCCGCGUGAGUGAUGAAGGCCCUAGGGUUGUAAAGCUCUUUCACCGGUGAAGAUAAUGACGGUAACCGGAGAAGAAGCCCCGGCUAACUUCGUGCCAGCAGCCGCGGUAAUACGAAGGGGGCUAGCGUUGUUCGGAUUUACUGGGCGUAAAGCGCACGUAGGCGGACUAUUAAGUCAGGGGUGAAAUCCCGGGGCUCAACCCCGGAACUGCCUUUGAUACUGGUAGUCUUGAGUUCGAGAGAGGUGAGUGGAAUUCCGAGUGUAGAGGUGAAAUUCGUAGAUAUUCGGAGGAACACCAGUGGCGAAGGCGGCUCACUGGCUCGAUACUGACGCUGAGGUGCGAAAGCGUGGGGAGCAAACAGGAUUAGAUACCCGGGUAGUCC